AAAUUGAAGAGUUUGAUCAUGGCUCAGAUUGAACGCUGGCGGCAGGCCUAACACAUGCAAGUCGAGCGGUAGCACAGAGAGCUUGCUCUCGGGUGACGAGCGGCGGACGGGUGAGUAAUGUCUGGGAAACUGCCUGAUGGAGGGGGAUAACUACUGGAAACGGUAGCUAAUACCGCAUAACGUCGCAAGACCAAAGUGGGGGACCUUCGGGCCUCAUGCCAUCAGAUGUGCCCAGAUGGGAUUAGCUAGUAGGUGGGGUAAUGGCUCACCUAGGCGACGAUCCCUAGCUGGUCUGAGAGGAUGACCAGCCACACUGGAACUGAGACACGGUCCAGACUCCUACGGGAGGCAGCAGUGGGGAAUAUUGCACAAUGGGCGCAAGCCUGAUGCAGCCAUGCCGCGUGUAUGAAGAAGGCCUUCGGGUUGUAAAGUACUUUCAGCGAGGAGGAAGGCGUUAAGGUUAAUAACCUUAGCGAUUGACGUUACUCGCAGAAGAAGCACCGGCUAACUCCGUGCCAGCAGCCGCGGUAAUACGGAGGGUGCAAGCGUUAAUCGGAAUUACUGGGCGUAAAGCGCACGCAGGCGGUCUGUCAAGUCGGAU
rnacentral:rRNA from 1 species